rnacentral:rRNA from 1 species
ACAAGCGUGGAGCAUGUGGUUUAAUUCGAAGCAACGCGAAGAACCUUUACCAGGCCUUGACAUGCAGAGAACUUUCCAGAGAUGGAUUGGUGCCUUCGGGAACUCUGACACAGGUGCUGCAUGGCUGUCGUCAGCUCGUGUCGUGAGAUGAUGGGUUAAGUCCCGUAACGAGCGCAACCCUUGUCCUUAGUUACCAGCACGUUAUGGUGGGCACUCUAAGGAGACUGCCGGUGACAAACCGGAGGAAGGUGGGGAUGACGUCAAGUCAUCAUGGCCCUUACGGCCUGGGCUACACACGUGCUACAAUGGUCGGUACAAAGGGUUGCCAAGCCGCGAGGUGGAGCUAAUCCCAUAAAACCGAUCGUAGUCCGGAUCGCAGUCUGCAACUCGACUGCGUGAAGUCGGAAUCGCUAGUAAUCGUGAAUCAGAAUGUCACGGUGAAUACGUUCCCGGGCCUU